GGCGAACGGGUGAGUAACACGUGGGUGAUCUGCCCUGCACUUUGGGAUAAGCCUGGGAAACUGGGUCUAAUACCGAAUACACCUCAUUGGUCGCAUGGCCUGGUGGGGGAAAGCUUUUGCGGUGUGGGAUGGGCCCGCGGCCUAUCAGCUUGUUGGUGGGGUGAUGGCCUACCAAGGCGACGACGGGUAGCCGGCCUGAGAGGGUGUCCGGCCACACUGGGACUGAGAUACGGCCCAGACUCCUACGGGAGGCAGCAGUGGGGAAUAUUGCACAAUGGGCGCAAGCCUGAUGCAGCGACGCCGCGUGGGGGAUGACGGCCUUCGGGUUGUAAACCCCUUUCAGUAGGGACGAAGCGCAAGUGACGGUACCUACAGAAGAAGGACCGGCCAACUACGUGCCAGCAGCCGCGGUAAUACGUAGGGUCCGAGCGUUGUCCGGAAUUACUGGGCGUAAAGAGCUCGUAGGUGGUUUGUCGCGUUGUUCGUGAAAACUCACAGCUUAACUGUGGGCGUGCGGGCGAUACGGGCAGACUGGAGUACUGCAGGGGAGACUGGAAUUCCUGGUGUAGCGGUGGAAUGCGCAGAUAUCAGGAGGAACACCGGUGGCGAAGGCGGGUCUCUGGGCAGUAACUGACGCUGAGGAGCGAAAGCGUGGGGAGCGAACAGGAUUAGAUACCCUGGUAGUCCACGCCGUAAACGGUGGGUACUAGGUGUGGGUUUCCUUCCUUGGGAUCCGUGCCGUAGCUAACGCAUUAAGUACCCCGCCUGGGGAGUACGGCCGCAAGGCUAAAACUCAAAGAAAUUGACGGGGGCCCGCACAAGCGGCGGAGCAUGUGGAUUAAUUCGAUGCAACGCGAAGAACCUUACCUGGGUUUGACAUGCACAGGACGCUGGUAGAGAUAUCAGUUCCCUUGUGGCCUGUGUGCAGGUGGUGCAUGGCUGUCGUCAGCUCGUGUCGUGAGAUGUUGGGUUAAGUCCCGCAACGAGCGCAACCCCUAUCUUAUGUUGCCAGCGCGUUAUGGCGGGGACUCGUAAGAGACUGCCGGGGUCAACUCGGAGGAAGGUGGGGAUGACGUCAAGUCAUCAUGCCCCUUAUGUCCAGGGCUUCACACAUGCUACAAUGGCCGGUACAAAGGGCUGCGAAUCCGUGAGGUGGAGCGAAUCCCUUGAAAGCCGGUCUCAGUUCGGAUCGGGGUCUGCAACUCGACCCCGUGAAGUCGGAGUCGCUAGUAAUCGCAGAUCAGCAACGCUGCGGUGAAUACGUUCCCGGGCCUUGUACACACCGCCCGUCACGUCAUGAAAGUCGGUAACACCCGAAGCCGGUGGCCU
rnacentral:rRNA from 1 species